rnacentral:rRNA from 1 species
GGUAGUCCACGCUGUAAACUAUGAUCACUCGCUGUUGGCAAUACAUCGUCAGCGGCUGAGCGAAAGCAUUAAGUGAUCCACCUGGGGAGUACGGUCGCAAGAUUGAAACUCAAAGGAAUUGACGGGGGCCCGCACAAGCGGUGGAACAUGUGGUUUAAUUCGAUGAUACGCGAGGAACCUUACCUGGGCUUAAAUGUAGACUGCAUUUCCGGGAAACCGGAAUUUCCUUCGGGACCGUCUACAAGGUGCUGCAUGGUUGUCGUCAGCUCGUGCCGUGAGGUGUCGGGUUAAGUCCCAUAACGAGCGCAACCCCUAUCGUUAGUUGCCAGCGAGUAAUGUCGGGGACUCUAGCGAAACUGCCGGUGUAAACCGAGAGGAAGGUGGGGAUGACGUCAAAUCAGCACGGCCCUUAUGUCCAGGGCUACACACGUGUUACAAUGGUCAGUACAAAGGGCAGCUACCUGGUGACAGGAUGCUAAUCUCGAAAACUGGUCUCAGUUCGGAUUGGAGUCUGCAAUUCGACUCCAUGAAGCUGGAAUCGCUAGUAAUCGCGCAUCAGCAACGGCGCGGUGAUACGUUCCCGGGCCUUGUACACACCGCCCGUCAAGCCAUGGAAGCUGGGGGUGCCUGAAGUCCGUAACCGAAAGGA